rnacentral:sRNA from 1 species
UUCACAAGACAAAUGAAGAGCAGAAGAACAAAAUACGAAAACUUGAGCGUGCUCU